GACGAACGCUGGCGGCGUGCCUAAUACAUGCAAGUCGAACGCAGUGGUGAAGGGUGAGUAACACGUUGGUAACCUCCCAUCAGAGGGGAUAACACUUGGAAACAGGUGCUAAACCGAUACUGAUGGAUGGACCCGCGGUGCAUUAGCUAGUUGGUGGGGUAACGGCUCACCAAGGCCACGAUGCAUAGCCGACCUGAGAGGGUGAUCGGCCACACUGGCACUGAGACUCGGCCCAUACUCCGACGGGAGGCAGCAGUAGGGAAUUUUCGGCAAUGGACGAAAUUCUGACCGAGCAACGCCUCGUGAGUGAAGAAGGUUUUCGGAGCGUAAAACUCAGUUGUUAGAGAAGCGGUAUCUAACCAGAAAGCCACGGCUAACUACGUGCCAGCCGCCGCGGUAAUAC
rnacentral:rRNA from 1 species